UAGGUUCGUGUCCCGACUCUGGCAUAUCCUAAUGGUGUGUGAUGAUCGUGGUUCUCUGAGUCUGUGAAAUGAGAAAACUAUUUUCUCAUAGGGGUGUGUUUCAAUGUUGUCAGCACACUUGUGGCACUUGAGAUGGUACUGAAGAAACGUAUGAAAUCAAUAUCAUUUCCUCCUGAAAGCCAAGCUGUCCACUGGGUUCUGAGAGACGCGUUCCAGGAUCCUGCUCCAACAUCAGGAUUCUAAGAGAAAACGAGCCAUCCGCAGAUGUGCCACUGUGAAAAGACCAUCUCUUUUUAGCACGGGGCAGAAGAGCUGAGUUGCAGAGUGGAACACCUACUGAUAUUGUUGGUUUGACCUGGACAAGAACCCAGAGACAGGCUGCCUGCUGUGUGCUUCAUCAGCAAGCAGGAUGCCCCGAGAAGGCAGAGCCCAAGAACAACAACAACA
rnacentral:lncRNA from 1 species